rnacentral:misc_RNA from 1 species
GAAAUGCGAUAAGUAAUGUGAAUUGCAGAAUUCAGUGAAUCAUCGAAUCUUUGAACGCACAUUGCGCCCGCCAGUAUUCUGGCGGGCAUGCCUGUCCGAGCGUCAUUUCAACCCUCAGAACCCCUUGCGGGAUCUGGCGUUGGGGAUUGGCAUCCAGCCAGCCCCGAAAUCUAGUGGCGGUCCCUCCGCGACCUCCCCUGUGCAGUAGCGAUACCUCGCAGCGGGACAGCGGUCUGACCACGCCGUAAAACCCCCAACUUCUCAGGUUGACCUCGAAUCAGGUAGGAAUACCCGCUGAACUUAAGC